AUACUUACCUGGACGGGGUCGACGUACUAUCAACAAGGCCCGUGGCCUAAGCCAAUGGCCCACAUUGCACUUGGUGGGCGCGUUGACUUAUCAUCUCCCCAAGUGGGAGAAUGAACGUCGUAAUUUGUGGUAGAGGGGGUACGCGUUCGCGUGGCCCCUGC
rnacentral:snRNA from 1 species